GACAGAGGAUGCAAGCGUUAUCCGGAAUGAUUGGGCGUAAAGCGUCUGUAGGUGGCUUUUUAAGUCCGCCGUCAAAUCCCAGGGCUCAACCCUGGACAGGCGGUGGAAACUACCAAGCUGGAGUACGGUAGGGGCAGAGGGAAUUUCCGGUGGAGCGGUGAAAUGCGUAGAGAUCGGAAAGAAUACCUGUGGCGAAGGCGGCGAUCUGGGAAGAUACUGACGCUGAGGUGCGAAAGCGUGGGGAGCAAACAGG
rnacentral:rRNA from 1 species